rnacentral:rRNA from 1 species
GAUGAACGCUGGCGGUGUGCCUAAUACAUGCAAGUCGAGCGAACGGACGAUAAGAUCGCGUCCCUGAGGUUGGCGACUGACGGGUGAGUAACACGUGCAUAGCCUACUUAUAAUACUGGGAGAAUUACGGAAAACCGGUGCUACUACUGGAUAAUAUUUUCAACGGGUGAGAUCAAAAGUGAUUGAGGGCCUUCCUGUCACUUUUAGAUGGUUCCGUGUUGCAUUAGCUAGUUGGUAAGGUAACGGCUAACCAAGGCAACGAUGCAUAGCUGAGCUGAGAGGGUGAUCGGCCACACUGGAACUGAGACACGGUCCAGACUCCUACGGGAGGCAGCAGUAGGGAAUCUUGCACAAUGGGCGAAAGCCUGACGGAGCCACGCCGCGUGAGUGAUGAAGGUCUUCGGAUCGUAAAGCUCUGUUAUUAGGGAAGAACAGAUGUGUAUGAAACUGUGGACAUCUUGACGGUACCUAAACAGAAAGCACCGGCUAACUACGUG